GAGGGAUCAUUACCGAGUUUACAACUCCCAAACCCAAUGUGAACGUUACCAAACUGUUGCCUCGGCGGGAUCUCUGCCCCGGGUGCGUCGCAGCCCCGGACCAAGGCGCCCGCCGGAGGACCAACCAAAACUCUUUUGUAUACCCCCUCGCGGGUUUUUAUAUCUGAGCCAUCUCGGCGCCUCUCGUAGGCGUUUCGAAAAUGAAUCAAAACUUUCAACAACGGAUCUCUUGGUUCUGGCAUCGAUGAAGAACGCAGCGAAAUGCGAUAAGUAAUGUGAAUUGCAGAAUUCAGUGAAUCAUCGAAUCUUUGAACGCACAUUGCGCCCGCCAGUAUUCUGGCGGGCAUGCCUGUCCGAGCGUCAUUUCAACCCUCGAACCCCUCCGGGGGGUCGGCGUUGGGGAUCGGCCCUUUACGGGGCCGGCCCCGAAAUACAGUGGCGGUCUCGCCGCAGCCUCUCCUGCGCAGUAGUUUGCACACUCGCAUCGGGAGCGCGGCGCGUCCAUUGCCGUAAAACACCCAACUUUCUGAAAUGUUGACCUCGGAUCAGGUAGGAAUACCCGCUGAACUUAAGCAUAUCAAUAAGCGGAGGAA
rnacentral:rRNA from 1 species